rnacentral:lncRNA from 1 species
UGCUGUUACCCACUGGCUGAAAAAUAUUGAAUUCUUAAAUUAGGCUUGCCAACUCUUUAAAAAGUUGACCAGGUGGUUCCCACACUGGUGACUGCUGGACUCACCCAUGCACGUGGAAGGGUUGGAGCUGGUGCAUUCCAGGGACUCAUUCAACAAAUUGUUUGCUGAGUAUCAAUGCACAGCAGGUGUCAUGGCCCGCAGUCCCCUGAAAUUUGCAGCCCUGGAUUUAGGACAUUUCUGCCUCACUGAAGCCCAAUCCAGGAUCUGCAAAGUUUGGGGGAGAUAAACAGUGUUUCCUGGAGAUUCACUUCCUUCGGCACUCUUUUGAAUAAAUUUCUGUGUUCAUCAUUACUGUCAUCAGAC